GGGCCCGCACAAGCGGUGGAUUAUGUGGUUUAAUUCGAUGAUACGCGAGGAACCUUACCAAGGCUUAAAUGGGAAUUGACAGAUUUAGAAAUAGAUCCUCCUUCGGGCAAUUUUCAAGGUGCUGCAUGGUUGUCGUCAGCUCGUGCCGUGAGGUGUUAGGUUAAGUCCUGCAACGAGCGCAACCCCUGUCACUAGUUGCUAGCAUUAAGUUGAGGACUCUAGUGAGACUGCCUACGCAAGUAGAGAGGAAGGUGGGGAUGACGUCAAAUCAUCACGGCCCUUACGCCUUGGGCCACACACGUAAUACAAUGGCCGGUACAGAGGGCAGCUACACAGCGAUGUGAUGCAAAUCUCGAAAGCCGGUCUCAGUUCGGAUUGGAGUCUGCAACUCGACUCUAUGAAGCUGGAAUCGCUAGUAAUCGCGCAUCAGCCAUGGCGCGGUGAAUACGUUCCCGGGCCUU
rnacentral:rRNA from 1 species